UAGACCAGGCUGAUCCUGGACCAUCCCACAGAUGCUCAAUCAGAUCUGGAUGUGGGGAGUGUGGAACCCAGGUGAACAGUUUAGCUCUGUCGUGUUCCUCAGACCACUCCUGAGCAGUUUUAAUUUGUCCUGCUGAGGGUGGCAGCUGGCAUCAAGGACUGCUGUUGCCAUGGAGACUAGGGGGUUGUUUGUCCUACAGUGUUUAGGUGGUGGUACAUGUCAAACAUCCACAUGAACGUCAAGGUUUCCCAGCAGAACGUUACAUUAGAACAAGAUGAUGGAUGAUGGAAACUGUGAUGGUGUUGGAUUGUCAGACCGUAAUGUUGCAGCUCAAAGCAGCUUUUCUAGCUCAGUUCAUUCUGACAUUCAGCUAUGAAUCAACACAGCAGAUGGUGAUCCAUGCUGUGGAAGUCUCACAUCUCCUGAUUUAAUGGAGCUGCUUUGCACUUUUUACACUAUUUAUUCACCAACACUUUAUUUAAUAAAAGUCCCAUCUAGUUUUUAUGAGGAAUGUGAUGUUUUAAUUUCUCUGUGAAUAACUGCAGUCUAAUGCAACAGCUGGAAUUGUAACAUCUGUCCUGAUAUUGAUCAUGAAGUAUUGAUCAGAAUACUUAUGGUCAGCAGUCAUCCCUGAAGUUUUACAUUAAAAUCUUUACUUGUGUUGUGAACUUUGGUAAGAAGCAGAAACGUUAGCGUUGCCAUGGAUACAUGAGUGUUAAAUUCUGUCCAUGUUUCCAUUUUGGGAAAUGCAGUCCAGUUCCAGAAUGUGGAGGAAUUUAGUCUCACAAUCACAGACAACAAAUAUUAUCUGAAAGUCGGGUUAUUGUUGUUUAUCAGCACAAUACAAAAAGAUUAAUGUUAGAAAUAUUCCAGUUAAGACUCUAGAAUAUCAUGAUUUACGUAAAUUUACCUCAAUAAUAUGAAUGUUCACGUUAAGAUUGUACAGUGAUAUUUAUUAUGUAAGUUUAGCUGAUUAAAGUUUAUGACUGCACUAAAAUAUUAUUUAAAUUGACAUCAUUAUUAUAAUAUUUAGGGUCAGACCCUACAGUAUUGAGACUAAGAAAUCAAAUAUUCUAUAAAAUGUAAAUACACUGAACUCAUUUGGAUAUAUUUAAGUGAGACUCUACAAUAUUAUUUGAGACAAAUCUAUAUAAAUCAAAAUUUUAAUAAUUUUCACGCCAAACAUUUACUGGACUGAUUUAAACAUUAAAAUCAUUCCUUUCUAAUCCUCUGCUGUAGGUUCAAACCUGAGGCCUUAAAUAGAAACACACAAGUAUCUGUUAGAAGGAACUUCUGCAGAGUCCUGGUUCCAGAACAUGAUGAUAGAAUUAUAGACAAACUUUAACAAAAGCUGCCUGAGAGUUUACAGGUUUUUAUGUUAGAUUUCUUCAGUAAUUUAAUGAGAGUUAUCAGCAAUAAUCAAGUGUUCAUUUGAUGAACUUCAUUUCCUAAAACAUCCAGAAUUGGAGCUCAUAUCUUUGGCAGCUGUAAAGUUUCUGCUCCUUCAAAGUUCACAACACAAUGAAUGAAUUCCUAAAACACUCUCAAUGCUGGAGAGCGUUUGUGAUGCUGAAGCAGUGACCAGUUUUUCUGUUUCUUCUCUGGAGAUGCACAAUGAGGGACGUCUGCAGCGACUGAGAAAGAGUCUCACCACAUCCUGACAUGAGGAAAAAGACUUUAUUGAAGACUACAAUGAGAAAAACUAUCAGACAGCAGACGGCUGCAUUCAAGUCUGUAGCUGCUGAAUUCAUGGAUGAAUCAUCUGGCACUGGAGAAGAAGACCAUCAAACAUCCACGUCAGCUGAUGGAGGUCCAAGAGUCUCACCGAACAAACAACCUACAGAGUGAAGACCUCGAAUCUGAUUGGACGGCCUCCUAUUCAGCCACGUGUGAACAAAUGCCUCUAAGUUGAUUUGUUUUCUAAAAUAAAUCUAGUUUGAGUCCUAA